GUCUACAGAGUGAGUUCCAGGAUAGCCAGAGCUAUACAGAGAAACCCUGUCUCGAAAGAAACAAACAAAAAAUAAAUAGGGGCUAAAACAGGCAAAACACAGAACAGAGGUUUAUAUUUGUUUUUCUUUUUUUCCCAUGGAAAGCAGCUUUUAUUGACUAGUCUCCAGAAACCACAAAAGCUAUGUGCUUUCAGUUAUGCCCCAUACCUCUAAGCUACCUCCAGGGCUUUACUUGGAAAUGGAAUACAAAAAUGCCUAUUUCAAGGCCCAAGUCUUCCGUGUACAGAUUAACUUAGAAACCUGAACAAAGGGAUCCUUAAUGGUGUAUCAGUCUUGUUGUGGUUUAUAAAUAAAUGUUAUAUACCC
rnacentral:lncRNA from 1 species